rnacentral:rRNA from 1 species
UAGGGAUACCCGCUGAACUUAAGCAUAUCAAUAAGCGGAGGAAAAGAAANCAACAGGGAUUGCCUCAGUAACGGCGAGUGAAGCGNCAACAGCUCAAAUUUGAAAUCUGGCUCUUUCAGGGUCCGAGUUGUAAUUUGUAGAAGAUGCUUUGGGUGUAGCUCCGGUCUAAGUUCCUUGGAACAGGACGUCAUAGAGGGUGAGAAUCCCGUAUGUGACUGGGUGCUUUCGCUCGUGUAAAGCUCUUUCGACGAGUCGAGUUGUUUGGGAAUGCAGCUCAAAAUGGGUGGUAAAUUUCAUCUAAAGCUAAAUAUUGGCCAGAGACCGAUAGCGCACAAGUAGAGUGAUCGAAAGAUGAAAAGCACUUUGGAAAGAGAGUUAAACAGUACGUGAAAUUGUUGAAAGGGAAGCGCUUGCAACCAGACUUGCGCGCUGUUGAUCAUCCGAGCUUCUGCCCGGUACACUCGACAGCGUUCAGGCCAGCAUCGGUUUUGGUGGGCGGAUAAAGGCCUUGGGAAUGUAGCUUCUUUCGGGGAGUGUUAUAGCCCUCGGUGCAAUGCGCCCUACCGGGACCGAGGACCGCGCUUCGGCUAGGAUGCUGGCGUAAUGGUUGUAAGCGACC